UACAGAGGUCUCAAGCGUUGUUCGGAAUCACUGGGCGUAAAGGGUGCGUAGGCGGCACGGUAAGUCAGAGGCGAAAUCCCGGAGCUCAACUUCGGAAUUGCCUCCGAUACUGCCGUGCUUGAGGACUGGAGAGGAGAUUGGAAUUCACAGUGGAGCAGUGAAAUGCGUAGAUAUCGUGAGGAAGACCAGUGGCGAAGGCGGGUCUCUGGACAGUUCCUGACACUGAGGCACGAAGGCCAGGGGAGCAAACGGG
rnacentral:rRNA from 1 species